GCGACGGAGCCACCUCCCCUCCCGCCACGCGCCCGCUUAAAGGGGCCGCGCACCGCCGUCCCGACACCCGUCAGUGCCGCCUCCCCUCCGCGGGGAUGGGGGACGGCGGCGGCAGGUUCCUUCCCCUCCCGCCCUCCCGUGGGCUGGCAUCGGGCGGCGGCGGCGCCGCACGUGGGCGAGGCACGCCAGGCGCGCGUGUCGCACCCCCGGCGUGCACCGAGACCCUCCCCCGCCCGGCGGCCUCUCGGGGCAAAGGCGGCGCGGCCGGUGCCGCCGGUGAGGGGGGCCGGGCCCCAUUCGGCCCUUUCGGGGCGGGGAGAACCACGACAGUCUCCAUUUUACUCUUAAUCUUCUCAUCAAUCAACACUGGUAACACGUGUGUGUAUAUCAUCAGCAAGCCUUAUUUUGAGAGAAGGCCCCUGCUUACAGCUCAUCCCAAAAAGCAAUGAACUGCUUGGAAGAACUGUGUUGUAAGCACAGUCAGCUGACAACUUCAUUGAUGGCUCCCCAACAGGUGACUUGCUCUUUAAGAAAAAUAAAUACAAACCACCACAUCUUGUACUGUGCGUUAUCUGUCAAAAAUAAUUCGGAGACUGGCUGAAAUUCCAUCCAGAUAAGACUGCAACGAUGGCAAUAGUCUGGGGAAAACGACCGGAGCAGACAACAAUUACAAGUACUCCUACCAUUUGUCUUUCAAGUUAACAACAAUCCACAGGUGUUGGGACCUCCCCAGCUGGCGGCUGGGCAAUCACGCAGCAGGAGAGUCCAGGAAGGACUCGUUCACUCCUCCACUCCUCUCUGGACUCGACAGGCACCAGCUUGUUUCGGAGGCAAGCCUUCUGCUGUGAUCCACACCUUACCUCCUGUGGGUGAGAUUACCGCGAUGUUCUCCGCACCAGCUACCCAGGAAUUGCAGCUGGAGCACGCAGGCGCUGCCUUGCUGCACGCUUUUCCUCUCGCAGUACAGUAUGCCCCUGCUCCCCUCAGCGCUUGUUGCCCAUUUGCAAGUAGCGUUUAAGGCACGGUGCUUCACUUUUGGGAGGCGGAGGUUGUUGCUUUCCUUGCCUGAAGAAGAGGUUCCAACAGCACAUUCCUGUGACAAACCGUGAGGUUGCUCUAGUUGCAAAGAGCCUUAAUCUUGUUGACUGCCACGGCACGCUAAGAGCUUGGUUAGAGCAGCAUUCCCCCUGGGGAUCCAGCACUGUGAUAAAAGCCGUAAUGGGGUGGGGGAACUCGAUAAGGUUUUUUAUAAUUUGAUUUUCCAUUAUCUGUUUUCUGAAUUUGAAGUGAAAUGUCAAUUGCGGUCAAUCUUUUAUGUAGAUUUAUAUGGCAGGAGUGCUUAGAGCGCUCUACCUGAAGUUAAACUUGCCUUAAGGUAAAACCCUUUUGUAUAUAUAAAUACAUGAGAACAUA